CUCAGGACGCCCCUUGGGUUUUCUGUCUCUCAGCCUGCUCCCUGCAAGUGUUCAGAUGGAGGGGAGAAGAAGGAAGGAGGGAGAGGAGAGAGGGAAGGGCUUUUGUUGUGGAAACCAAGAUGGAGUUGCUGAGGAAAUAUCAGUGGGGGUUCAGGGAGCCUGUGGAUUGCCCUCUGCACUUUCGGCAGAGCACUACGGCUCAAGCCUGGCUGGAGGAGCACCAGCCCAACCCCUCACGGACGACAGAGACUAGUGGAGAUGCGACAGGCGAACAGCAGUGUGGCACUGGGGGCAAAAAAAUAUCCUGUUUUCAAAGGAAGCCUCUGUGGAAACAAAAGGACUGCGUGCAGGAGAAGCUCUUUGCAGAUAACCUUAAAGUCAGAUGCCAGUUUUAAAUGUCCCCUUUCUUUUUCCACAUUUUUUCCUUGUUUACUCUCUCUGGGAAAAAAAGUGAGGAAAAAUCUUAAAAUGCAACAGCUUUCAAGCAAACGCUGCAAAUUAGUCUUCCAAUUUUCCUGUCAAUUCAGUCCUUCUCCGGCUGCAGCUUCUUUGAAAACAGGCAUAAUUUGAUAUAUAUGUAUAGGAGUUUUAUAUAUAUAUCAUAUGUAUGUGUUUUCACUGGUGCUCUGCUUGUUGGGAGCUCCAAACAGAAUCAGUAAAAAGCCCUCCUCGUCCUGUCCUCGCGCUGUUGUCAGCAUGUAUUCCCGUAUUUCCAUUCAGCGUCUGUAUCCUAUCCGGUUGAGAUGCUCGCUCUGCUGCUGUUGCUCCUCUCUGGCAGGACUGCCUGACAAUAUCUCACUCCUUUUUCCUUCCCUCCUCCCUCUCUGGGUUCACUCCUCCCCUCUCCCUUUCACUCACUCCUCCCCUCCCUCUUGGCAUCUUUUUCACACACACACACACACGCGAGCGCUGAUAUCUUUUGUGCAUAAAUGAGCUGACUCUUCCCACAUCUCUCCCUCAUUUUAUGUCACCUACGCUAAUGUGGAGCAUUUUUUGUUGUUUUCCCUAAAAACUGUGGCCAUCUUUUUUAUGUUGACUCUUUUCUAUGACCUCCUCCUUGUAUUAUUUGACACAAACAAGCUUUGGUGCUGACUGAGCAGCAGGUUGUAAUGUGCAAGAGCGCUUCAGUGGCCGUGUGAGUGUGGCUCAGUAUCAUUACAAGCCUAACAUCCGGGCGCAUCUUUGAGCACGUCUGGAGCAUGUGUGGCACUGCAGUCUAUUAUAGCUGAUUUAGGGAAACAGAGUGAGGGAAUGAUUGGAGGGAGAAAAGCAGGAGGGAGAUAAACAAAAAGGAGCGGGAAAUGAGGGAGAAUUGGAAAACUGUCUGCUGGAAAGAGAAGGGGAUUGGCAGAAAAGAGACUGUAGGAGGGAAUUAUCGCAGGGAAAGGAGGAAGGAUUAAGAAACAUGGAGAGACUGGAAUAUGAGUUGACAAAGGGAAACCAGUAAGAGGAGAGGAAAAGAUUGGACAGUGGUGCAAACAGGUAAAAGAGCCGAAAAGUGGCAGAAAGGAAAGUAAAAUUGAAAUAGAUGAAACAGAGGAAAAAUACUCCAGGCAGAUGAAAGCUGGAAAAUAUGGUGAAACAAGUUAUAAUGAAGCCCACAUAAUGCUAAAAAUGUUAAAUAGAAUUUAUAUUUGAAAGAGACAGAAAAACAAGCAGUAUGUCUGGAAAAUACUCAUUAUUUUUACAUUUCAGUUUGAAAAAGAUUCUUUUAAGUUUUCAUGUUUUUAUCCAUGUUAACCCCCCCCCCACAUACGUUUCAGAGGCAUCAUCUCCUCUUCUUGUUCCUGAUGUUACAAGCUCCUCUGUAUUUACUGUUUGUACUCAGUCUGACACACAAGAAAGCGCCAAAAUACCUUGCUUCA